rnacentral:rRNA from 1 species
UGCAGCUCGAGUGCGCUCUAGUAGCAAUACAGGUGGCGCACGGCGCACGGGUGCGUAACACGUGGGUAAUCUGCCCUUCGAUGGGGAAUAACUCGCCGAAAGGCGAGCUAAUUCCGCAUAACAUUCCGGGAGCUCCGGUUUCUGGAUUCAAAGGCGUAAGUCGUCGGAGGAGGAGCCCGCGCACGAUUAGCUAGUUGGUAGGGUAACGGCCUACCAAGGCUUUGAUCGUUAGCUGGUCUGAGAGGAUGGCCAGCCACACUGGAACUGAGACACGGUCCAGACUCCUACGGGAGGCAGCAGUGGGGAAUCUUGCACAAUGGGCGAAAGCCUGAUGCAGCGACGCCGCGUGGGGGAUGAAGCUUCUCGGAGUGUAAACCCCUUUCGACCCGGACGAAUGCCCCGCAAGGGGACUGACGGUACGGGUAUAAGAAGCCCCGGCUAACUACGUGCCAGCAGCCGCGGUAAGACGUAGGGGGCCAGCGUUGUUCGGAAUUACUGGGUGUAAAGGGUUCGUAGGCGGUGUGGCAAGUCGGGAGUGAAAUUUCUGGGCUCAACUCAGAGACUGCUUCCGAAACUGCUGUGCUGGAGUGUGGGAGAGGCGCGUGGAAUUGCAGGUGUAGCGGUGAAAUGCGUAGAUAUCUGCAGGAACACCCGUGGCGAAAGCGGCGCGCUGGACCACUACUGACGCUGAGGAACGAAAGCUAGGGGAGCAAACAGGAUUAGAUACCCUGGUAGUCCUAGCCCUAAACGAUCAGGACUUGGGGUGCCACCCGUUCGGGUGUCGUCCCGGAGCUAACGCGUUAAGUCCUGCACCUGGGGAGUACGGUCGCAAGACUGAAAACUCAAAGGAAUUGACGGGGGCCCGCACAAGCGGGUGGGAACAUGUGGUUCAAUUCGAC